rnacentral:rRNA from 1 species
UAGCUUGAUGGUGGGGUAAUGGCCUACCAUGGCGACGAUGUCCAGGGGGUGUGAGAGCAUGGCCCCCACGACCGGAACUGAGAUACUGUCCGGACACCUACGGGUGGCUGCAGUCGAGAAUCUUCCGCAA